rnacentral:rRNA from 1 species
CCUACGGGGGGCUGCAGUGGGGAAUAUUGGACAAUGGGGGGAACCCUGAUCCAGCCAUGCCGCGUGUGUGAAGAAGGCCCUCGGGUUGUAAAGCACUUUCAGUGAGGAAGAACGCCUGGUGGUUAAUACCCAUCAGGAAAGACAUCACUCACAGAAGAAGCACCGGCUAACUCCGUGCCAGCAGCCGCGGUAAUACGGAGGGUGCGAGCGUUAAUCGGAAUUACUGGGCGUAAAGCGCGCGUAGGUGGCUUGAUAAGCCGGUUGUGAAAGCCCCGGGCUCAACCUGGGAACGGCAUCCGGAACUGUCAAGCUAGAGUGCAGGAGAGGAAGGUAGAAUUCCCGGUGUAGCGGUGAAAUGCGUAGAGUUCGGGAGGAAUACCAGUGGCGAAGGCGGCCUUCUGGACUGACACUGACACUGAGGUGCGAAAGCGUGGGUAGCAAACAGGAUUAGAUACCCCUGUAGUC